UGAGAUAUCAUCCAACUGAAAAUUACCAACUUGACCCACCGCACUUCACACAAGAGUUCACAAUUUCCUAAGAGAUACACCGCGCCAUGGGAUACAAACAGGAACCCAAGUGAGACAGAAAGACACAUUUCACGCACUUCAAUUUCCAAAUAACACACCCACAGGCUCCUCUUACAUUCUCUCCAUCUCUUUUACACACUCUUCAAUGUAAAAGCCCAUCAUACACACAAUAGCUUUUAUUGAUGCCACCACCACCUUGUUUUCAACCGGAGACGAUGUACAUAUAUCCAAUGCUAAGGACACCAUCGUUAGUGGCUGGAAAACACGCAAUCAACAACAAACGUAAUGAUGUACCAGUGCAGAAUAAUGUCUCUGUCAGAGGAGCAAGUGUUGAAGAAUCAUACAAACUUCUACCCGUCUUUUGAUCUCUUCAAUGGUGUAUUGUUGAUUGUGAGAAAAUAAAGAAAAAGCAAAAAAAAAAAAACGAAGAAGAAACAAGUUGCAAGAAUCUAAACUUACAUUAUGCAAAUACAUAGUCAAACCUAGAGGUUUUCCAACUCAGUAUACAACAAUUCUCACCCUCUAACGCUUAUUUCCCUGUUUGACAAUUUAAUCUG